rfam:Ananas comosus cultivar MD2 ACMD2_Scaffold_1188, whole genome shotgun sequence.
GACUCUCGGCAACGGAUAUCUCGGCUCUCGCAUCGAUGAAGAACGUAGCGAAAUGCGAUACCUGGUGUGAAUUGCAGAAUCCCGCGAACCAUCUAGUCUUUGAACGCAAGUUGCGCCCGAGGCCGUCCGGCCGAGGGCACGCCUGCCUGGGCGUCA